AGAGUUUGAUCCUGGCUCAGGACGAACGCUGGCGGCGUGCCCAAUACAUGCAAGUCGAGCGAAUCUGAGGGAGCUUGCUCCCAAAGAUUAGCGGCGGACGGGUGAGUAACACGUGGGCAACCUGCCUGUAAGACUGGGAUAACUUCGGGAAACCGGAGCUAAUACCGGAUAAUCCUUUUCUACUCAUGUAGAAAAGCUGAAAGAUGGCUUCGGCUAUCACUUACAGAUGGGCCCGCGGCGCAUUAGCUAGUUGGUGAGGUAACGGCUUACCAAGGCGACGAUGCGUAGCCGACCUGAGAGGGUGAUCGGCCACACUGGGACUGAGACACGGCCCAGACUCCUACGGGAGGCAGCAGUAGGGAAUCUUCCGCAAUGGACGAAAGUCUGACGGAGCAACGCCGCGUGAGUGAUGAAGGUUUUCGGAUCGUAAAACUCUGUUGUUAGGGAAGAACAAGUACCGUUCGAAUAGGGCGGUACCUUGACGGUACCUAACCAGAAAGCCACGGCUAACUACGUGCCAGCAGCCGCGGUAAUACGUAGGUGGCAAGCGUUGUCCGGAAUUAUUGGGCGUAAAGCGCGCGCAGGUGGUUUCUUAAGUCUGAUGUGAAAGCCCCCGGCUCAACCGGGGAGGGUCAUUGGAAACUGGGAGACUUGAGUGCAGAAGAGGAAAGUGGAAUUCCAAGUGUAGCGGUGAAAUGCGUAGAGAUUUGGAGGAACACCAGUGGCGAAGGCGACUUUCUGGUCUGUAACUGACACUGAGGCGCGAAAGCGUGGGGAGCGAACAGGAUUAGAUACCCUGGUAGUCCACGCCGUAAACGAUGAGUGCUAAGUGUUAGAGGGUUUCCGCCCUUUAGUGCUGCAGCAAACGCAUUAAGCACUCCGCCUGGGGAGUACGGCCGCAAGGCUGAAACUCAAAGGAAUUGACGGGGGCCCGCACAAGCGGUGGAGCAUGUGGUUUAAUUCGAAGCAACGCGAAGAACCUUACCAGGUCUUGACAUCCUCUGACAAUCCUAGAGAUAGGACGUUCCCCUUCGGGGGACAGAGUGACAGGUGGUGCAUGGUUGUCGUCAGCUCGUGUCGUGAGAUGUUGGGUUAAGUCCCGCAACGAGCGCAACCCUUGAUCUUAGUUGCCAGCAUUCAGUUGGGCACUCUAAGGUGACUGCCGGUGACAAACCGGAGGAAGGUGGGGAUGACGUCAAAUCACCAUGCCCCUUAUGACCUGGGCUACACACGUGCUACAAUGGAUGGUACAAAGGGCUGCAAGACCGCGAGGUUUAGCCAAUCCCAUAAAACCAUUCUCAGUUCGGAUUGCAGGCUGCAACUCGCCUGCAUGAAGCCGGAAUCGCUAGUAAUCGCGGAUCAGCAUGCCGCGGUGAAUACGUUCCCGGGCCUUGUACACACCGCCCGUCACACCACGAGAGUUUGUAACACCCGAAGUCGGUGGGGUAACCGCAAGGAGCCAGCCGCCUAAGGUGGGACAGAUGAUUGGGGUGAAGUCGUAACAAGGUAACC
rnacentral:rRNA from 2 species